rnacentral:rRNA from 1 species
UGCCAGCAGCCGCGGUAAUACAUAGGGGUCAAGCGUUGUCCGGAUUUAUUGGGCGUAAAGAGCUCGUAGGUGGUUAAAAAAGUUGAUGGUGAAAUCCCAAGGCUUAACCUUGGAACUGCCAUCAAAACUUUUUAGCUAGAGUAUGAUAGAGGAAAGUGGAAUUUCUAGUGUAGAGGUGAAAUUCGUAGAUAUUAGAAAGAACACCAAAUGCGAAGGCAACUUUCUGGAUCAUUACUGACACUGAGGAGCGAAAGCAUGGGUAGCGAAGAGGAUUAGAUC